ACAGUCACUGAGCACACAGGUCCUCACCAUGGGAUGGAGCUGGAUCAUCCUCUUCCUCCUGUCAGUAACUACAGGUGUCCACUCCCAGGUCCAGCUGCAGCAGUCUGGUCCUGAGCUGAAGAAACCUGGUUCCUCAGUGAAGUUGUCCUGCAAGGCUUCAGGCUACACCUUCACUAACUACUUUAUGCACUGGGUGAAGCAGAGGUCUGGUCAAGGCCUGGAGUGGAUCGGAUGGAUUGAUCCUAGUGAUAGUGAAACUAAAUAUGUUCAGAAGUUCCAGAACAAGGCCAAACUGACUGUUGAUAAAUCCUCCAGCACAGCCUACAUGGAGCUCAGCAGCCUGACCUCUGAGGACUCUGCGGUCUAUUACUGUGCGAGACACAGUGUUGCAGCCCACAUCCUGAGUGUGUCAGAAACCCUGAGGGAGCAGGAAGCUGCCCUGGGACUGAGAUAA